rnacentral:rRNA from 1 species
GAGACUCUGUGCGCGUGCAUAUCAAUAAGCGGAGGAAAAGAAACUAACAAGGAUUCCCUUAGUAACGGCGAGUGAAGCGGGAAGAGCUCAAAUUUGGAAAUCUUCAAGGUUCUACCUUGACGAAUUGUAGUUUAUAGAAGUGUUUUCUGUUAGUAGAGUGGCAAAAGUUCUUUGGAAUAGGACAUCAUAGAGGGUGAGAAUCCCGUAUUUGGUCAUUCUUUCUAGCUUUGUGAUACACUUUCAACGAGUCGGAUUGUUUGGGAAUGCAGUCCAAAAUGGGUGGUAAAUUUCAUCUAAAGCUAAAUAUUGGCGAGAGACCGAUAGCGAACAAGUACCGUGAGGGAAAGAUGAAAAGAACUUUGAAAAGAGAGUUAAACAGUACGUGAAAUUGUCAAAAGGGAAGCGUUUGACACCAGUGUUGUUUUUCCGAAAAUCAAUUACGAAUGUUUUAUUUUUGAGAAGUUAUGACUUCAUCGGCUUGCUUCUCUCUUUAUGAAACUUUCUUAAUGCACUUUUCGGUUAACAAGUCAACAUCAAUUUCUUUUGUUGUAAAAGGGUAUGAGGAAGGUGGCUUUCUUUUCGGAGAGAGUGUUUAUAGCCUUGUACCUCUGCAAUCGGAGAGAUUGAGGUCUGCAGCGUAGAUCCUUCGGGGUUAGAUACAUUUGUGCUAAGUUAUAGCUUUUCAUAGACAACUUGUUGACUAUGUUUAGUCUUGUAGCUUACUCGCUUAUGCUAUUUUACCUACGCUUAGGAUGUUGAACUCUAUCACACACAG